rnacentral:rRNA from 1 species
AAUAGAUACCCGGGUAGUCCACCCCGUAAACGUUGGGAACUAGUUGUGGGGUCCAUUCCACGGAUUCCGUGACGCAGCUAACGCAUUAAGUUCCCCGCCUGGGGAGUACGGCCGCAAGGCUAAAACUCAAAGGAAUUGACGGGGACCCGCACAAGCGGCGGAGCAUGCGGAUUAAUUCGAUGCAACGCGAAGAACCUUACCAAGGCUUGACAUAUACGAGAACGGGCCAGAAAUGGUCAACUCUUUGGACACUCGUAAACAGGUGGUGCAUGGUUGUCGUCAGCUCGUGUCGUGAGAUGUUGGGUUAAGUCCCGCAACGAGCGCAACCCUCGUUCUAUGUUGCCAGCACGUAAUGGUGGGAACUCAUGGGAUACUGCCGGGGUCAACUCGGAGGAAGGUGGGGUGACGUCAAAUCAUCAUGCCCCUUAUGUCUUGGGCUUCACGCAUGCUACAAUGGCCGGUACAAAGGGCUGCAAUACCGUGAGGUGGAGCGAAUCCCAAAAAGCCGGUCCCAGUUCGGAUUGAGGUCUGCAACUCGACCUCAUG